CCGGGGACCUUCCGCGCGGACGCCCCUUCGGAGCCGGUCUCCCCUUCAAGAUUGUCAUCAAGUGCGGCGGGAUGGGCACGUUCCACCUGGACUUCAACGACGAGCUCCAGCUGGACUUCGCAGGUCCUCAACUUGAUAUCGGGAGCAUCAACUGGUUGGAGGUGUGGCAAGUGAUGCUGAGCAGCGUCCAACUGAUGUGAUGACGCGGCCGUGUGACGCCGCUUCCUGUCAGGGCGUCAGCAUGCCGACGGCAAGCAGCUCCAUUCUAAUGGUUUCUUUUCGAGCUCGGUUGCCACCACUUGUUUCCUUUUCAAACUAGAUGUGUAAAAUAAUCCCACGGUACUAAAUUUUCACAGCAAGCGCCUGCUUGCCUGCUCGUGUGGAAAAUCGAGUGCCAGUCGUAAGAAGACACUUAAAUUGAAAACAAAGGUUCUGAUACGUUUUUUUCGGAAUCGUAUAUAAAUGUCACUUUAUUCAACUGAUGUACACGUGUUUGAAGCAAAAUAAAGGCGUUGUCUUUCUCAUGA